GCUCUCCUGAAUCAGGCAAAUGGAAUGAUGUUCAAUUCUAAUACAUUUUUGUAAUAAGCACAAUGAUAUAGAACACCAUCAAGGGGGGAAAAAAAGUGCUCUCCUACCAAGGGAACUUUUUCCGAAGUAAUUUUGAUCACAGGAGCAGUUGGGAAAUUGAUGUUGGACGCCAUUGUGCCCAGCCUGACGUUUUCGGAAGAAUUCAACUUCAGAGUCUGAGAUGAGCCUGGCUGCAGACGACAGCGUCUGAAAACAAUUCCAUUCCGGAAUGUGGGCAAAACAAGAUUGGUCUUUUUGUUCAGCUCGAUGAGCGUCGCAGAAAACCCAACCAACCCGCCUCAGGUAAACCAAGACAAUGUGCAACGCCACAGCUCACCCGGUGGGUCUUUAAUCGCUUCGAAAUGUACGGUCAAUGAGCACAAUCCACUUAGAAAGAUUAAAAAAAAUGUAAUCGAUCGCUCAGCGAGUAUCAAAUAACGAUUAGCUA